rnacentral:rRNA from 1 species
UAGUCAUAUGCUUGUCUCAAAGAUUAAGCCCUGCUUGUCUAAGUAUAAGCAAUCUAUACGGUGAAACUGCGAAGGGCUCAUUAAAUCAGUUAUCGUUUAUUUGAUAGUACCUUACUACUUGGAUAACCGGGGUAAUUCUAGAGCUAAUACAUGCUAAAAACCCCGACUUCGGAAGGGGUGUAUUUAUUAAAUAAAAAACCAAGGCCCUUCGGGGCUCCUUGGUGAUUCAUAAUAACUUAACAAAUCGCAUGGCCUUGUGCCGGCAAUGGUUCAUUCAAAUUUCUGCCCUAUCAACUUUCGAUUGUAAGGUAGUGGCUUACAAUGGUUUCAACGGGUAACGGGAAAUUAGGGUUCUAUUCCGGAAAGGGAGCCUGAAAAACGGCUACCACAUCCAAGGAAGGCAGCAGGCGCGCAAAUUACCCAAUCCCGACACGGGGAGGUAGUGACAAUAAAUACUGAUACAGGGCUCUUUUGGGUCUUGUAAUUGGAAUGAGUACAAUUUAAAUCCCUUAACGAGGAACAAUU